GAUGAACGCUGGCGGCGUGCCUAAUACAUGCAAGUCGAGCGAACAGACGAGGAGCUUGCUCCUCUGACGUUAGCGGCGGACGGGUGAGUAACACGUGGAUAACCUACCUAUAAGACUGGGAUAACUUCGGGAACCCGGAGCUAAUACCGGAUAAUAUAUUGAACCGCAUGGUUCAAUAGUGAAAGACGGUUUUGCUGGCACUUAUAGAUGGAUCCGCGCCGCAUUAGCUAGUUGGUAAGGUAACGGCUUACCAAGGCGACGAUGCGUAGCCGACCUGAGAGGGUGAUCGGCCACACUGGAACUGAGACGCGGUCCAGCCUCCUACGGGAGGCAGCAGUAGGGAAUCUUCCGCAAUGGGCGAAAGCCUGACGGAGCAACGCCGCGUGAGUGAUGAGGGUCUUCGGAUCGUAAAACUCUGUUAUUAGGGAAGAACAAAUGUGUAGGUAACUAUGCACGUCUUGACGGUACCUAAUCAGAAAGCCACGGCUAACUACGUG
rnacentral:rRNA from 1 species